AUACGGAGGGGGUUAGCGUUGUUCGGAAUUACUGGGCGUAAAGCGCGCGUAGGCGGAUUGGUAAGUUAGAGGUGAAAUCCCGGGGCUCAACCCCGGAACUGCCUUUAAUACUGCCAGUCUUGAGUUCGAGAGAGGUGAGUGGAAUUCCUAGUGUAGCGGUGAAAUUCGUAGAUAUUAGGAGGAACACCAGUGGCGAAGGCGGCUCACUGGCUCGAUACUGACGCUGAGGUGCGAAAGCGUGGGGAGCAAACAGGAUUAGAAACCCUAGUAGUCC
rnacentral:rRNA from 1 species